rnacentral:rRNA from 1 species
UACAGAGGGGGCAAGCGUUGUUCGGAAUUACUGGGCGUAAAGGGCGCGUAGGUGGCCUUCUAAGUUGAACGUGAAAUCCCUGGGCUCAACCCAGGAACUGCGUCCAAGACUGGGAGGCUUGAAUCCGGGAGAGGGAUGCGGAAUUCCAGGUGUAGCGGUGAAAUGCGUAGAUAUCUGGAGGAACACCGGUGGCGAAGGCGGCAUCCUGGACCGGUAUUGACACUGAGGCGCGAAAGUCAGGGGAGCAAACGGG